rnacentral:lncRNA from 1 species
GAGGCUACUAUGCUUCUGGAAGCACGGAGCCUUCCGUGCUUCCAGGUUAUUUUUGAUGUUGCGACUUUCGAAUCAUCGAUCGGCUCCGUUAAACUUGAUCUAGAGUAUUUGAAGUACAUAGAAAAUAAAUUUUGCAAUUUUUCGAUAUCAUUUGCUUAAUAAACUUUAAGGGGCUCAAAAUCAACGGCUGAAAAUAAAAAUCUUACAAAACGUGAUAAUAUGGCAUUAAAAUUUUAGAUCAAAGAUAUUGAUCUUGUUUUAUAUAGUAUAAAAAAUUUUCUAUCAAAAUUUUACGUGAUUUGGAUAUUUCUAUACCGUUAAACUUGCAAACGACUCACCACGGCCCUUAAAAUUAUUGAUUUUGAGUCCCUUCGAUCACUAGGCAAAUGAUAUCGAAAAAUCAUAAAAUUUAUUUUCUAAGUACUUCAAAUACUCUAGAUCAAGUUUAACGGAACCGAUCGACGAUUCGAAAGUCGCAACAUCGAAAACGACCUGGAAGCACGGAAGGCUCCGUGCUUCCGAUAGCAUAGUAGCCUCCAGUUAUAUAUAUAUAUAGAGUAGGGCUUCUUAUGAGUAUAGAGUCCUUCGUACUCAUAAGUUGUUUUCGAUGAUGGAGCUUCCAAAUCGACGAUCCACUCCGUUAAAUAUGAUCUAGAGUAUUUGAAACUUCUAGAAAAUAAAUUUCGUAAUUUUUCGAAAUCAUUAUAAAGUCCAUAAAGUAGGUAUAAAAUGAACGGUCGAAAUCGAACGACGUCCUAAAAAUCGAUGAUCGGAUCCUUCAAUUUAAGAUCGGAGUUAUUGAU